UACGUAGGGUGCAAGCGUUGUCCGGAAUUAUUGGGCGUAAAGAGCUCGUAGGCGGUUUGUCGCGUCUGCUGUGAAAACUCGGGGCUUAACUCCGGGCCUGCAGUGGGUACGGGCAGACUAGAGUGCGGUAGGGGAGACUGGAAUUCCUGGUGUAGCGGUGAAAUGCGUAGAGAUCGGAAAGAACACCAACGGCGAAAGCACUCUGCUGGGCCAACACUGACACUGAGAGACGAAAGCUAGGGGAGCGAAUGGG
rnacentral:rRNA from 1 species